UAGGGAAUCUUCGGCAAUGGGGGGAACCCUGACCGAGCAACGCCGCGUGAGUGAAGAAGGUUUUCGGAUCGUAAAGCUCUGUUGUUAAGGAAGAACGAGUGUGAGAAUGGAAAGUUCAUGCUGUGACGGUACUUAACCAGAAAGGGACGGCUAACUACGUGCCAGCAGCCGCGGUAAUACGUAGGUCCCGAGCGUUGUCCGGAUUUAUUGGGCGUAAAGCGAGCGCAGGCGGUUAGAAAAGUCUGAAGUGAAAGGCAGUGGCUCAACCAUUGUAGGCUUUGGAAACUGUUUAACUUGAGUGCAGAAGGGGAGAGUGGAAUUCCAUGUGUAGCGGUGACAUGCGUAGAUAUAUGGAGGAACACCGGUGGCGAAAGCGGCUCUCUGGUCUGUAACUGACGCUGAGGCUCGAAAGCGUGGGGAGCGAACAGG
rnacentral:rRNA from 1 species